rnacentral:rRNA from 1 species
UACGAAGGGGGCUAGCGUUGUUCGGAAUUACUGGGCGUAAAGCGCACGUAGGCGGACUCGUAAGUUGGGGGUGGAAUCCCGGGGCUCAACCCCGGAAUUGCCUUCAAGACUGCAAGUCUGGAGGUCAGGAGAGGCGAGCGGAAUUCCGAGUGUAGAGGUGAAAUUCGUAGAUAUGCGGAGGAACACCAGUGGCGAAGGCGGCUCGCUGGACUGAUACUGACGCUGAGGUGCGAAAGCGUGGGGAGCAAACAGG